UACGUAGGGUGCGAGCGUUAAUCGGAAUUACUGGGCGUCAAGCGUGCGCAGGCGGUUUUGUAAGACAGUCGUGCAAUCCCCGGGCUCAACCUGGGGAUGGCGAUUGUGACUGCAAGGCUGGAGUGCGGCAGAGGGGGAUGGAAUUCCGCGUGUAGCAGUGAAAUGCGUAGAUAUGCGGAGGAACACCGAUGGCGAAGGCAGUCCCCUGGGCCGGCACUGACGCUCAUGCGCGAAAGCGUGGGGAGCAAACAGG
rnacentral:rRNA from 1 species